AUUGAACGCUGGCGGCAGGCCUAACACAUGCAAGUCGAACGAGUGGCGGACGGGUGAGUAAUGUCUGGGAAACUGCCUGAUGGAGGGGGUUAACAACUGGAAACGGUAGCUAAUAACGCAUACCAUCGGAUGUGCCCAGAUGGGAUUAGCUAGGAGGUGGGGUAAAGGCACACCAAGGCGACGAUCCCUAACUGGUCUGAGAGGAUGACCAGCCACACUGGAACUGAGACACGGUCCAGACUCCUACGGGAGGCAGCAGUGGGGAAUAUUGCACAAUGGGCGCAAGCCUGAUCCAGCCAUGCCGCGUGUAUGAAGAAGGCCUUCGGAUUGUAAAGUACUUUAAGCUGGGAGGCGUUACCCACAGAAGAAGCACCGGCUAACUCCGUGCCAGCCGCCGCGGUAAUUC
rnacentral:rRNA from 1 species